AUUAACUAGAUUAUGCCUAAUGCC
rnacentral:siRNA from 1 species